GUGGGGAAUAUUGCACAAUGGGCGCAAGCCUGAUGCAGCCAUGCCGCGUGAGUGAAGAAGGUUUUCGGAUCGUAAAACUCUGUUGUUAGAGAAGAACAAGGACGUUAGUAACUGAACGUCCCCUGACGGUAUCUAACCAGAAAGCCACGGCUAACUACGUGCCAGCAGCCGCGGUAAUACGUAGGUGGCAAGCGUUGUCCGGAUUUAUUGGGCGUAAAGCGAGCGCAGGCGGUUUCUUAAGUCUGAUGUGAAAGCCCCCGGCUCAACCGGGGAGGGUCAUUGGAAACUGGGAGACUUGAGUGCAGAAGAGGAGAGUGGAAUUCCAUGUGUAGCGGUGAAAUGCGUAGAUAUAUGGAGGAACACCAGUGGCGAAGGCGGCUCUCUGGUCUGUAACUGACGCUGAGGCUCGAAAGCGUGGGGAGCAAACAGGA
rnacentral:rRNA from 1 species